rnacentral:rRNA from 1 species
UGAGUAACGCGUGGAUAACCUGCCUCACACAGGGGAUAACAGUUAGAAAUGACUGCUAAUACCGCAUAAGCGCACGGCAUCGCAUGAUGCAGUGUGAAAAACUCCGGUGGUGUGAGAUGGAUCCGCGUCUGAUUAGGUAGUUGGUGGGGUAACGGCCCACCAAGCCGACGAUCAGUAGCCGACCUGAGAGGGUGACCGGCCACAUUGGGACUGAGACACGGCCCAAACUCCUACGGGAGGCAGCAUG